GCAAAGAAAGAAAGCUAGGAUUUAUCUAAGGUAAGAGAAGCUGAACUUGUUUUAUGUUUUAUGAAUUGCGACUUCACAAAGCAUGGGUGGUUAAUUGUGCACAUGAUACUGUUUGGAUUAUAUUUGUUUUUGGGUUGUUCCGGGUUNUUUGAUGAAUUUUAUCUGUUGUUAUUGGNUNGNUCGAAGGUAGUCUGACGAAAAAUCGUAUGCUUGUAUUGGUAUAGGANAUAAUUCUACUUUUUCUGUCUUCUUUAACNUUUAAACUGAAUGCAGAAAUANCUUAAGCAUGCAUGUGAAUUUCGAUUCUAGNCUGGGAAAUUUAAGUUCUUUGGUACAGGAUGAUAGUUAUUAAUGGUACUCUAAUUUUUUUUGGUUGAUCAUAUAUGUUGUUUUCGGGUGCUGUAUUUAACUUACGUUUAGAAGAUUAAAUACAUGCAAGAAGUAAAUAUGCAGUGACUGAUAUUGAGUAGUGUAAUGAAGAUUNUAGUUUAGUUGUGGGUUCAUAUUUAAGACCUGUAUGUACAACAGUUUUGAAUAAGUAACUUUGAAUUAUGUUGAGUGAUGAUUUUGGUAUAGUGUUUGNUGUUCCAGUUGGUCUCUAGAGUAUACGUAAGGANAAUGGUUUGUGGAAGUAGAGAACGAAAAGAAAAAGAGAAGAAGUAUGGUGGAUGGUGGGAGUUUAUAGUAUUGAAAUUUAAAAUAGUCGUAGAGAGGAUUUAGGAACGUUGCAGAGGAAGGGUUUAGAUAAAUUAUGGUAGGAAAGAAAGUGUAAUAUUCAUAUACAUAGNAGAGAAAAGGGUUNGUUUUAUGCCUGGGAUUGAUGAAGAGUGAAGAGAAUAGGGUAUAGGUAUGUUGUACUGUAAAAUAGAAAUUGAAGAAGGAAUUAGGUUUAGAGUACGUGCAUAGGAUGGGAGUUGGUUGCGUNUGGUUUAUUUCGUGAACUUCUAGGAUAAUAUUAAAAAUCAAAGAAAGACGAAAGAGAAUAAGAAGAGGGUUGGGUGACUGAAAGUUGUUUAUUUGAUGGUUCGGU
rnacentral:lncRNA from 1 species